rnacentral:misc_RNA from 1 species
GAUGAAGAACGCAGCGAAAUGCGAUAAGUAAUGUGAAUUGCAGAAUUCAGUGAAUCAUCGAAUCUUUGAACGCACAUUGCGCCCGCCAGUAUUCUGGCGGGCAUGUCUGUCUGAGCGUCAUUUCAACCCUCAGCCCCCGUUCGCGGGGCGCUGGCGUUGGGGAUCGGCCGUCCUUGCGGCGGCCGGCCCCGAAACACAGUGGCGGUCUCCCGUAGACUCCCCUGCGUAGUAACACUACCUCGCAGAAGGGACGAGCGGGCUGGCCACGCCGUAAAACCCCCCACUUCUCAAGGUUGACCUCAGAUCAGGUAGGAAUACCCGCUGAACUUAAGCAUAUCAAUAAGCGGAGGA